UACGUAUGGAGCGAGCGUUAUCCGGAUUUAUUGGGCGUAAAGCGCGCGUAGGCGGCUUGCCAAGCGGGAUCUCAAAACUGAGGGCUCAACCCCCAGCCGGAUCCCGAACUGGCAGGCUCGAGUUCGGUAGAGGAAGAUGGAAUUCCCAGUGUAGCGGUGAAAUGCGCAGAUAUUGGGAAGAACACCGAUGGCGAAGGCAGUCUUCUGGGCCGUAACUGACGCUGAGGUGCGAAAGCUAGGGGAGCGAACAGGAUUAGAUACCCUGGUAGUCCUAGCCGUAAACGAUGGGCACUAGGUGUGGGGGAGCAUUUCCUCCGUGCCGCAGCUAACGCAUUAAGUGCCCCGCCUGGGGAGUACGGCCGCAAGGCUAAA
rnacentral:rRNA from 1 species